AAAAUUUAAAGAGUUUAUUUUCUUUAAAAAUAAUUAAGGAAUUUAUUUGUAUUUUCUGGAUAUAAUACCGGCUAAAAUCUUACAUAUUUUAACCGACUAGUCGAAAGUGCGGGUUAAUAGUGAUACCUUGAAAGAGUAAGAUUUUUAGCGGGUUGUGGGGAAAUACCAUUGUGAUACCCGAGCCUAGGUAUCGAGACCUUAGGAUAGGUCUCCCCGAGACUUAGGGUUUAGUCUCGAAUAUUUUGUAUAACUUUCCUUAAUAGGUUUAAAACCAAAUAAGGAUUGUAAAUCCUUACAAAUGACUUUUAUUAAAAUGACCAAACUGCCCAAAAUAAUAAUAAUGAAUUAUUAGUGCCAUAAUUAAUCCGAGUAUACUGUAUGGAUAACUACAGUAUUGGCUAAGCGUAACUGGACUGAACGUUGGAGGGUGAAAACUUGCUGAGCGCUAAGGACUCCAAGUAAGUGCAAGGGCAAGGCAGAGCAGUGAGCGCUGGAGUCUUCCUUGCAAAUGUACAUGUGGACCGACCUUUUGGGAAGCCGUUUUAUUUUUGGAAAUGUUGUGUAAUUUUCCUAAACAAGGCUCACUCUACUCUUUAUAAAAUAUGUUUGUAACUAAAUGUUAAGUAUGGCCAUACGACUUUUUAAAAAGUUUUUUUUUAUAUGGGUUUUUGAGACAUUUUGUUAAAUGAAAACAUUUAUAUUUCCGCA